UGGAUCACCUCCUAACAGGGAGACAACAAAAUGUUUAAUAUUAUUAUUUUGUCACCUUAGGUCGAUCGGUAUCUCACGUUCUUAAUUUGUUAAGAAUUUCAUUUCCUAAGUUUUUCUAGGUCACACCCAUUAUUUUUCCUGGGCCAUUAGCUCAGGUGGUUAGAGCGCACCCCUGAUAAGGGUGAGGUCCCUGGUUCAAGUCCAGGAUGGCCCAUAUCUCUAUGUUGGGGGUAUAGCUCAGUUGGUAGAGCGCCUGCUUUGCAAGCAGGAUGUCAGCGGUUCGAGUCCGCUUACCUCCACUGAUUACCACCUCUUCCAUAAUCGGUAGAAAGGAAAUGUUUUGAGUUGUGAUCAUUAUUCUGAACGAAUCUAGCUUCCUAAUGAAAUCAUUAAGAUGCUGGACUCAUUGAAUUAAUUUCAUUGUUUUCAGAGAACCUUGACAACUGCAUAGAUUAUUUUUUAAAGACAAUAAGCAUCUUUAAUGAUGCAGAUUUAUUAUUUGUGCGAAUGCAUUAAUAACAAUUCUAUUAAGCUGAUGCUUCGAUUUUUGAAGUUAUUGGUCAAGCUACAAAGGGCUCACGGAGGAUACCUAGGCACACAGAGGCGAUGAAGG
rnacentral:tRNA from 1 species